rnacentral:rRNA from 1 species
UACAGAGGUCCCAAGCGUUGUUCGGAUUCAUUGGGCGUAAAGGGUGCGUAGGCGGCGCGGUAAGUCGGGUGUGAAAUCUCGGAGCUUAACUCCGAAACUGCAUUUGAUACUGCCGUGCUUGAGGACUGGAGAGGAGACUGGAAUUUACGGUGUAGCGGUGAAAUGCGUAGAUAUCGUAAGGAAGACCAGUGGCGAAGGCGGGUCUCUGGACAGUUCCUGACACUGAGACACGAAGGCCAGGGGAGCAAACGGG